rnacentral:rRNA from 1 species
GACAGCAGCCGCCACGGUAAUACAGAGGGUGCGAGCGUUAAUCGGAUUUACUGGGCGUAAAGCGUGCGUAGGCGGCUUCUUAAGUCGGAUGUGAAAUCCCUGAGCUUAACUUAGGAAUUGCAUUCGAUACUGGGAAGCUAGAGUAUGGGAGAGGAUGGUAGAAUUCCAGGUGUAGCGGUGAAAUGCGUAGAGAUCUGGAGGAAUACCGAUGGCGAAGGCAGCCAUCUGGCCUAAUACUGACGCUGAGGUACGAAAGCAUGGGGAGCAAACAGGAUUAGAUACCCCCGUAGUCCCUGUCUCUUAUAC